rnacentral:rRNA from 1 species
AUGAACGCUAGCUACAGGCUUAACACAUGCAAGUCGAGGGGCAUCAUUUCAGUUUGCUUGCAAACUGGAGAUGGCGACCGGCGCACGGGUGAGUAACACGUAUCCAACCUGCCGAUAACUCGGGGAUAGCCUUUCGAAAGAAAGAUUAAUACCCGAUGGUAUAAUCAGACCGCAUGGUCUUGUUAUUAAAGAAUUUCGGUUAUCGAUAGGGAUGCGUUCCAUUAGGCAGUUGGUGAGGUAACGGCUCACCAAACCUUCGAUGGAUAGGGGUUCUGAGAGGAAGGUCCCCCACAUUGGAACUGAGACACGGUCCAAACUCCUACGGGAGGCAGCAGUGAGGAAUAUUGGUCAAUGGGCGCAGGCCUGAACCAGCCAAGUAGCGUGAAGGAUGACUGCCCUAUGGGUUGUAAACUUCUUUUAUAUGGGAAUAAAGUUUUCCACGUGUGGAAUUUUGUAUGUACCAUAUGAAUAAGGAUCGGCUAACUCCGUGCCAGCAGCCGCGGUAAUACGGAGGAUCCGAGCGUUAUCCGGAUUUAUUGGGUUUAAAGGGAGCGUAGGUGGACAGUUAAGUCAGUUGUGAAAGUUUGCGGCUCAACCGUAAAAUUGCAGUUGAUACUGGCUGUCUUGAGUACAGUAGAGGUGGGCGGAAUUCGUGGUGUAGCGGUGAAAUGCUUAGAUAUCACGAAGAACUCCGAUUGCGAAGGCAGCUCACUGGACUGCAACUGACACUGAUGCUCGAAAGUGUGGGUAUCAAACAGGAUUAGAUACCCUGGUAGUCCACACAGUAAACGAUGAAUACUCGCUGUUUGCGAUAUACAGUAAGCGGCCAAGCGAAAGCAUUAAGUAUUCCACCUGGGGAGUACGCCGGCAACGGUGAAACUCAAAGGAAUUGACGGGGGCCCGCACAAGCGGAGGAACAUGUGGUUUAAUUCGAUGAUACGCGAGGAACCUUACCCGGGCUUAAAUUGCAUUUGAAUAUAUUGGAAACAGUAUAGCCGUAAGGCAAAUGUGAAGGUGCUGCAUGGUUGUCGUCAGCUCGUGCCGUGAGGUGUCGGCUUAAGUGCCAUAACGAGCGCAACCCUUAUCUUUAGUUACUAACAGGUCAUGCUGAGGACUCUAGAGAGACUGCCGUCGUAAGAUGUGAGGAAGGUGGGGAUGACGUCAAAUCAGCACGGCCCUUACGUCCGGGGCUACACACGUGUUACAAUGGGGGGUACAGAAGGCAGCUACCUGGUGACAGGAUGCUAAUCCCAAAAGCCUCUCUCAGUUCGGAUCGAAGUCUGCAACCCGACUUCGUGAAGCUGGAUUCGCUAGUAAUCGCGCAUCAGCCAUGGCGCGGUGAAUACGUUCCCGGGCCUUGUACACACCGCCCGUCAAGCCAUGAAAGCCGGGGGUACCUGAAGUACGUAACCGCAAGGAGCGUCCUAGGGUAAAACUGGUAAUUGGGGCU